rnacentral:rRNA from 1 species
GCAAAGAUAAACUCUUGUACCUUUUGCAUCAUGAUUCAGCAAGUUAACUCAAGCAAAGAGAACUCUAGUUUGCCCCCCCGAAACUUGACGAGCUACUCCGGAACAGCUAAUUAUGAGCCAACCCAUCUCUGUGGCAAAAGAGUGGGAAGAUUCCCGAGUAGAGGCAAAAAACCUACCGAGCCAAGUUAUAGCUGGUUACCCAAUAAACGAAUAAAAGUUCAGCCCCACCAAGCCCCCCUCAAGAAAGUACAACCAACAAAGAUAAUUAGAGCUUACGUGGAGGUUAAUCAAAGGAGGAACAGCUCCUCUGAUUAAGGACACAACCUUAAUAGAAGGUUAAAGAAUACAAUACACAAGGCUCAAGGUCGCAGUGGGCCUGAAAGCAGCCACCUGACCAGAAAGCGUUAAAGCUCUGACCCUCACCCUGGCCUAUUAUUUUAUUUUUUCUUCUUACCCCUCUAUACCUUAUUGGGUCUCUCUAUGCCAAGCCCAUAGAAGAGAUUAUGCUGAAACGAGUAACAAGAAGGAUGAACUUCUCCACGCACAAGUGUAUGUCAGAAUGGACUAACCACCGACAACUAACGAACCCAAAAAAAGAGGGCCCUACACAUCCGUCCCUUAAACCAAGAAAAAUCUGUUGAGUUUUAUCGUUACCCCUACACAGGAGUGCUAGAACCAGGAAAGACUAAAAGAAAAAAAAGGAACUCGGCAAACCCAAACCCCGCCUGUUUACCAAAAACACCGCCUCUUGCCUAAUAGAGUAUAAGAG